GAACGCUAGCGAUAAGCUUAACACAUGCAAGUCGAGGGGCAACAUUUUAAAUAAGAUUUAUCUUAUUUAUUGAUGGCGACCGGCGUACGGGUGAGUAUAACGUAUAUAAUUUACCUUUUGUUGGAAAAUACCUUAAAGAAAUUUUUGUUAAUGUUCCAUACGGUAAUUUUACAUAAGUAAUUUUACUUAAAGUUUAUAAAUAAUGACAAAAGACAAGUAUACGCCUGAUUAGCCUGUUGGUGAGGUAAAAGCUUACCAAAGCAAUGAUCAGUAGGGGAUCUGAGAGGAUGUACCCCCACAUUGGUACUGGAACAAGGACCAAACUUCUAUGGAAGGCAGCAGUGAGGAAUAUUGGUCAAUGGAGUAAACUCUGAACCAACUAUAUCGCGUGCAGGAUGAAGGUUUAAAUAUCGUAAACUGCUUUUGUAAAAGAAUAAGAAUUUUUAUUUUUAAAAAUUUUGAAAUUAUUUUACGAAUAAGUAUCGGCAAACUCCGUGCCAGCAGCCGCGGUAAUACGGGGGAUACAAGCGUUAUCCAGAAUUAUUGGGUUUAAAGAGUACGUAGGCGGAUUAUUAAGUUAAUAAUUAAAUAUUUUAGCUCAACUAAAAACAAUGUUAUUAAAACUGAUAUUCUUGAAUAUUAAUGGAGUAAUUGGAAUGUAUUAUGUAACGAUAAAAUGUUUUGAUAUAAUAUGGAACACCAAAGGCGAAGGCAAAUUACUAAUUAAUAUUAACGCUGAGGUACGAAGGCGUGGGGAGCAAAUAGGAUUAGAUACCCUAGUAGUCCACGCAGUAAACUAUGAUCAUAUAUUAUUAUAUUUUAUAUAGUAAUAAUGCUAAAGCUAUAAAUGAUCCACCUGGGGAUUACGAUCGCAAGAUUAAAACUCAAAGGAAUUGACGGGGACCCGCACAAGCGGUGGAGCAUGUGGUUUAAUUCGAUUUUACGCGAGGAACCUUACCAAGAUUAAAUGUAUAAUGAAUAAAUUAGUAAUAGUUUAGUCUUCGGACAUUAUACAAGGUGUUGCAUGGUUGUCGUCAGCUCGUGUCGUGAGAUGUUAGGUUAAGUCCUUUUAACGAGCGCAACCCCUUUUAUUAGUUGCCAACAGGUAAUGCUGGGAACUCUAAUAUAACUGCUUAUGUAAAUAAGAGGAAGGUGGGGAUUACGACAAAUCAGUAUGACCCUUAUAUCUUGGGCUACACACGUGCUACAAUGAUUAAUACAGAGAGUUGCAAUUAGGUGACUAAAAGCUAAUCUUUAAAAUUAAUCUUAGUUCGGAUUGGAGUCUGCAACCCGACUCUAUGAAGCUGGAAUCGCUAGUAAUCGCGUAUCAGCCAUGACGCGGUGAAUAAGUUCUCGGGUCUUGUACACACUGCCCGUCAAGUCAUAGAAAUUGAUUUUAUAUGAAAUCAACUUUUUUUGUUGAAUAAUAUUAAAUUAAUAACUAGGG
rnacentral:rRNA from 1 species